CCAAUAGCGUAUAUUAAAGUUGUUGCAGUUAAAAAGCUCGUAGUUGAACUUCGGGGUUUACCCAUUGGUCAGGCUUAAUUGUCUGUACUGGUGAGAUAAAUCUCUACCUUCUGAGGAACUUUCAUGUCAUUAAUUUGGUGUGAUUGGAAAUCAGGACUGUUACUUUGAAAAAAUUAGAGUGUUUAAAGCAGGCUAACGUCUGAAUACAUUAGCAUGGAAUAAUGAAAUAGGACGGACUGAUUCUAUUUCGUUGGUUUCUAGGAUCACCGUAAUGAUUAAUAGGGAUAUUUGGGGGCAUUAGUAUUCAAUUGUCAGAGGUGAAAUUCUUGGAUUUAUUGAAGACUAACUACUGCGAAAGCAUUUGCCAAGGAUGUUUUCAUUAAUCAAGAACGAAAGUUAGGGGAUCGAAGACGAUCAGAUACCGUCGUAGUCUUAACCAUAAACUAUGCCGACUAGGGAUCGGACGAAGUUAAUUUUAUAAUGACGCGUUCGGCACCUUACG
rnacentral:misc_RNA from 1 species